rnacentral:rRNA from 1 species
AGUGAACGCUGGCGGUAGGCCUAACACAUGCAAGUCGAACGGCAGCACAGUAAGAGCUUGCUCUUACGGGUGGCGAGUGGCGGACGGGUGAGGAAUACAUCGUAAUCUACUUUUUCGUGGGGGAUAACGUAGGGAAACUUACGCUAAUACCGCAUACGACCUACGGGUGAAAGCAGGGGAUCUUCGGACCUUGCGCGAUUGAAUGAGCCGAUGUCGGAUUAGCUAGUUGGCGGGGUAAAGGCCCACCAAGGCGACGAUCCGUAGCUGGUCUGAGAGGAUGAUCAGCCACACUGGAACUGAGACACGGUCCAGACUCCUACGGGAGGCAGCAGUGGGGAAUAUUGGACAAUGGGCGCAAGCCUGAUCCAGCCCUACCGCGUGGGUGAAGAAGGCCUUCGGGUUGUAAAGCCCUUUUGUUGGGAAAGAAAAGCAGCAGGUUAAUACCCCGCUGUUCUGACGGUACCCAAAGAAUAAGCACCGGCUAACUUCGUG